rnacentral:lncRNA from 1 species
UAGAUUAGGAAAAAUGCAUGUUUGGAUGGUUUUGGGAGGCAAAUGUGCAUGAGGAGCCAAGUUUCUGCCCUUUGGCAGAAACCAGGUUCGGCAGCCGAAGGACUUUCGGCCGCCGAACCUGCCUGGGAGGCCAGCCUUUCGGCUGCCGAAGCCUGCCCCUGAAAAGAGACUUUCGUCUCUGGAGGGCACUUUCGGCCGCCGAAGGUGCCACCGAACCUGUCUGGCUUUCGGCUCUGGAGGGACUUUCGGUCGUCGAACCUGCCGCCGAAAGUGCCCUGUUCAGCCUUCCUUUGCAUGUUUUUGCAUGGAUGUUUUGAGGUGUUUUAGAGAGUUUUUGGGGGAUGUUUUUAGAGUUAUGUUCUAGUUGUUUGGUCCCUCAUUUGAGUCCACCUGUGUAGGUUUGGACCCGAGGAACCGAGGACCCCCAGCAGUGAGUCAGCUGCUUCAGUCAGUGUCAGAGCUAGCCAGAGGUGAGUAGAAUAAACUCUUAUCUUUUAAUAAGUGAAAAUUUUAGCAUGAAUCAUGCAUCAUAAAUGCCAUGUGAUAUCCUAGGUUGCUUGCAUUAGAAUUCACAAAUAUGUUGCAUUGCAUAUUUUGAUGUUGAUGUGGAUGGAUGUUGGAUGACCCAUUGGUCCUCAGUAUGAUGAGACAUGAUAUGAUAUGAUAUGGAAGUCCAGGUGUGGCCUGCACUACGCCCCUGGCACUAUGUAAGUGAAAGUCCGGGUGUGGCCUGCACUACGCCCCCGGCACAGUUGGACAUGUAUGUUAUGAUAUAUGUAAGAGAAAGACCAGGUGUGGCCUGCACUACGCCCCUAGCAUAGUUGGACUAUGUAGAGGACCCUUGGUGACAAGUCCAUCCUUGAUGUGAUAUGGUUGUGAUGUGAUGCAUUACAUGAUAGCAUGUGUUUUAAAUUGUUAUUAUUAUUCUGCUCACUGGGCUCUUGUAGCUCACCCCUUUCCCCUUAUCCCCCAGGUUUGCAGGUACAGGAUAGACCAGGAGGUCAGCAGGAGUAAAGUCUGUUUUUAUGUAAUAGUUAGAAGUUGUGGACAUGAUGAAAUUGAAAUGUAAUGUUUUAUGUAGUCAUGAUAUGUAAAAUGAUAUUGAGGAUUAGAGGUUGUGCUUGACCCUAUGUGUAUGGUAUUCCCUUUUAAUGCAUGAUCAUUAUUAUUAUUGAUGAGAUGAGUAAUCAAGCUUAACGUAUGUUAUUGAUACCCCAUUGGAGCAUGUGAUGAGGGCUCCAGUGUGAGGUUUAUGGUUAUGUUAGUGUGCAUGCACAGGUUAAGCUUGAUUUAUGAAAGAAAAAGUUUACAUGUUUAUGUAUUUGUAUGAUCAUGUAUGGGAUUACACAUGUUUACAGGUUGUAUGUCAGGCUUGCUACGGGUCCCGGCGGCCUUAAGCCGAUCUGGAUCCUAGCGCCGGUAGCGGUCCAAGAGGUCUUGACUCGCGGUUGUCGAAGCCGAUGAAAAAUAACCUUCUUGGUUAUCAACAAUUUACAACUGCAGAUAGUGGUGAAGGAUCGAAUCCACAGAGAAUUGAUUACCUAUUUAUUUUUCUCAACAAGACCAAUAAAAUAAACUGAAACAAUGAGAUAAACAAAAAAUGAGAUAAAAACUGAAAGUGGGAUCAAACGAGAUAAACUGAAAUUGGGAUAAAAAACUGUCAACAAAAUAACAGGGGGGGUUUGAGAUUGAUUGUGGUAAACUAAUAAUGAGAAAAAUAAUGGAAAGCAAAUAAUUAAAUAAAAAAUAAUCAAUAAUGAGAAAUUCUAGUUGAAGUAUUGGAUCCACUUUAGUCGUUGGGAUUGAUCACAGACACUUUAUUCUUUUGAGUUGAUUCAAUAGAUUAGUUAUGGAGAUGGAAGACGCUUCUCACCACCAUUAUCUCUCCUUAUUAUUAAAUUAAUUAGGAAACUUCCUCUAAUUAAUUACUAAUUAACAAAUUGCCAAGGAACGUCCUUGGGCCUUAGACAUCAAAACAAUUGUCAAUUGCAUUAAGAAAUAGAGAGACCCAAUCCUAACUACCCAAAUGUAUGGAGAUAACGCUAGAUCAUGCAAUUUCCUUGAGUUUUAUCCCAAGUGUUCUCAUGUAAGAAUAAUCUAAGCAAUUACGGACUUAAAUUAUUCAAACUAACAAAUAAUUAUUUUACAAUAAAAAAUCAACGUAGAUCUCAAUAACAAAAUAAUAUGAGAAUUAAAUAUGAAAUUACAUAAAUAUUGAAUUCCCAAAAAUUAAACAAUAUUUGAUCAAGUCUCACAAUCCAUUAAUCAACUAAAACUUCAACUAAUAUUCAACUAGAUUAAAAAAAUCAGUCACUCAUUGGCUGAAUUAAAAACAGAAAAUUAAAAGGGAAAAGAAAAGAAGAAGAACCGAAGGAUAUUGAAUUCUUCACUGCCCUGUGCCGAGCACUGCCGAAUUGAGAGGAAUUGAAUUUGUUUGUGCACUGAAGAGCCUAUAAAUAGGUGCAGAGGAGCCCUAAUUGGCUGCCCACGUGUGUAGAUGAUUUGGUGAGGCGCGGGCCAUGUCCGCGUAAAUUGGUGGAGUGCUUGGUCUCUGCCCAUGCGUGCGUGAGUGUUGAGGAGCUCGUGUUGGUCCAUUGUGUGAGUGAAUUGGAGUGUUACGGGCCCAUGUGCGUGGGUGAGCGUUGGAGUUUUGAAGCGGGCCCAGGCGAAGUGCUUUGGUGCUUUGCGAGAACGGCCCGUCCGUGAGCUGGAGUUUAAGGAAUUGCUUUGGUGGGCCAUGUGCAAGUGACGGGGCGGCUUGAUCCUUGUGCAGGAGUGUGCGUGUGAAUGUGGGCCGUCCAAGCUUUGGUGGAAUGGGAGUGCGCUGGCCCUUUGUGCGUGUGUGGUGAAGGCAGGAGUGAGCUGUCCACAUGCUUGGCCCAUUGACGCGCCUCGGCGGGGCUUGGUUCGCGUGAAGUGUAAGGUGGAGCCCAUGUGCGAUUGAUUGUGCGUGGACUGGUCCACUGGAGGGAAUGGUGAACUUGCGGCCAUGUGCUGGAGUGGUGAAAGUGCAGUCGCCCAUUUGUGUGGAUUGAGCUUGCUUUGGCGCUUUGGUGGGCCAUGUGAAGCUGAAUAUUGAAGUGCGCGAUUUGGGCGGGAGCUUGCAUUUGUGGGCUGGUCCAUAAGCGUGAAUUGAUGAAGUGCGGGCCCACGGUGGUUUAUGUGAAGUGCUUGCUUCUUUGCAAGAAUGGGCUGUCAUGUGCGGGCCCAAUUAUUUCUUGGCUCCAAAUAAGGCAGUUUUAGGGGAAUUUUCUCCAAAUUGUCCUUUUACACCAUUUUCUGUAAAAUAAUAUUAAAAACAAUAAAUUAAGCAGAAAUCAUGUAAAUAUUUAUCGAUAAUAUUAAUAUAAAAUGGACUAAAUUAUACUCUAUCAAAUACCCCCACACUUAGCCUUUUGCUUGUCCUCAAACAAAUAAACAUAGUUAAAUAAGCUUUCUUUCUCUAGAUCCUUGUUUCCACUUAAGCUCUUACUCAAGACACCUAUUUUGAAUCAUUGCAGUGAAGAAUAUAUGCAAGAAGAUUACUCACCUUCUUUCCUUGUUUCCCUUUACUCACUAUGGCUAGAAUUUGUUUUCCUCAAGAGAGACCAUACAUGCACAUUAUUUGUUAAGACUUUUUCCAGCUUUUGGUGUGACUUGCCCUUACCUUGAAUUACUUUAUUCAGGCUUUUUGCACUUUAGAUCUUGCUUGGAGAAGUCACUAACCUUUUGACUUGAAGGUACAUAUUUGUGAUACCCACCCCCAGUUACUCAGUUGGUCACCUUUCCAAGUGGCUACUAGCUCUGUUCUUAGUCUUUUGACCAUUGAAACAGUUUUUGAUUUGUGCUUUUGAGGUCUUUGCCUUUGCUGAAUUUUCUUUCUCUCAAUGAUUUGGGCAAAUCAACACCAAUUGCUAAAUCAAGUAAUGUUAAGUUCAUUCACACAAUUUUUAAUAUAUUCUCAUCAAUUGAGGGUCAUCAAUAUAUUUUUCACCAUGGCAAACUCAAAGAUUCAAUUCAAAAAGUAAUUCUCAAACAUGAAUAUAACUCACUGCAAUUGAUUCAACAUAAGUUUAAAGAGUCAUCACAUCAAUGGGGUCAUGGAAAGAAAAGCUCAUCCAACAUAGUUUAUCAGUUUGAGUAGAGCAAAUCAAAAAGAAGAAGACUGUGGUUGUGUGUUAUUGAAAGCAAAAACGAAAAAUUUAAAAAAAAUCACACUGAAAAUGAAAACAAAAAUUCAAACUGAAAAUUAAAGCAAAAAUAAACAAAAAUAAAGAUUCAGAAAUAUGCACCCCCACAUCUAAAUCAUGCAUUGUCCUCAAUGUAAAAGAAAAGAAGAGAACAAAGGAAUCUGAAUACUCCCCUGGGGUGUGGUGUGCAUGGCAUGAUCACUAUUCAGACCGAGAAAGUAGAAUUUCUUCCACUACUUGCAUUGCGAAUCCUUCAUAAUAUGGUUUCAAUCGAUGCCCAUUUACUUUGAAGAUUUUUCCAGUUUCUAUGCUUUUGAUGUCUACAGCUCCAUGGGGGUAGGCAUGUUCCACAAUGAAUGGUCCAAUCCACCUAGAUUGUAGCUUUCCUGGAAACAAUUUUAAACGGGAGUCAAAGAGUAAGACUUUAUCACCAACCUCAAAUUGUUUUCUUGAAAGAUGACUGUCAUGGGUGGCUUUGUUUUUGCUUUGUAGUUCCAAGAGUUCUCAUAUGCGUCUCGUCUUAUUUCCUCUAGCUCUUGCAGUUGCAAUUUGUGGUGGUGUCUAGCUUCCUUGAGGUCCAUGUUGCAAUUCUUUACAGCCCAAUAUGCCUUGUGUUCAAGCUCGACUGGAAGGUGACAAGCUUUUCCAUAGACCAAUCGGUAAGGGGACAUGCCUAUGGGAGUCUUGUAAGUUGUUCGGUAGGCCCAUAAAGCAUCUUCUAGUCUGGCACUCCAAUCUUUUGGGUUAGGGGAGACUGUCUUCUCAAGGAUGGCCUUGAUUUCUCUAUUGAAUACUUCAGCUUGCCCAUUUGUCUGAGGGUGGUAGGCUGUGGAUGUUCUAUGGAUCACAUUGUGUUUCCUGAGGAGGCUUUCCACUACCUUGUUGCAAAAAUGGGUCCCUCUAUCACUGAUGAUUGCCUUUGGUACUCCAUGUCUGGCAAAGAUGUGGGACUUCACAAAGUCUACUACGGCCUUGGCAUCAUCAGUCUUUGUUGCUCUAGCUUCCACCCAUUUGGAUACAUAAUCCACUGCAAGGAUGAUGUAGGUGUAUCCCAAGGAUGGUGGGAAUGGGCCCAUGAAGUCUAUGCCCCACACAUCAAACACCUCACAGACCAUGAUGGGGUUCUGUGGCAUUUGAUUUCUUUUGCUCAGAUUUCCAGUUUGUUGACACCUAGCACAUGAUCUGCAAAACAUAAAAGCAUCUCGAAAAAUAGUGGGCCAAAACAGACCACUUUCAAGUAUCUUAUGAGCAGUUUUUCUGGGACCAAAGUGUCCACCACAACUAUAUGAGUGACAAAAAGUGAGUACUGAAGCUAUUUCUUGGUCUGGAAUACAUCUCCUUAUCAUUUGGUCAGCACAAUGUUUCCACAAAUAUGGCUCAUCCCAAACAUAGUAUUUGGCAUCUUUCUUUAUCUUAUCUUUGGUGUGCUUUGGCAUGUCAGAAGGCAAGUUACCUGUGGCUAAGUAGUUUACCAUGUCUGCGUACCAUGGCUCAUCAGAUUGGGCAAGGAAGAUUUGUUCAAGGUGGUCAUUCUUAUAUUCUUCAGAUUCUGAGAGAUGUUGCAAAGGUGUCUGCGCAGAGGUGGUUUCAGAAGUCUCCUUCUGUGCAAGACUUGACUGCAAAGGAGAUGGCGCAGAACUGGAUUCAGAAGCUUCCUUUUGCGCAGGACUUGGCUGAAAGGGAGGCGGAGGAGAGCUAAUUUGCAUGGGAAGCUGAAUGGGCGCGCCUGAGAGGCUUUCAGAUGCCUCUUCUUGCGCAGGGGUGGUCUGUACUCCAUUCUGAAGUGGUGCAACUGGUUUCUGUACUUCCUGUAGCGGUUUGCAGUUCAUCUGAUGGAUGCUGCAAACUAUUUCCUUAAGUUUCGACUCUUUCUGGCUCUCAUUCCUGCAAAGAUCAUCAUUUAGUAUAUCAUCUUGAUUUACAAAAAAAAUAUUUUCACUCAAACAAUCAAUGAUAUCUAAAUUAUCAACAGAUUCUGUUUGAUAAGUUUGUUUAGGCAAACAAUUUUCUGGUUGUUUCUCUUCAGCAGCUUGUUGUUGUACUUGUGAACUUUCAUCAUUUGUCUUAUCAUCUUGAAACUCUUCCUCUCUCCUUAACAUGUUUGCAUUUAAUGAGGUGGUCAUUUGUUCUAUCUGCUGUUGGAUGCUUUGCAUAGAACUUGCCAAUGUCUCCAUCAUCUUCUCAAGGUGUUGGUUGGAACUUAGAGGUGCUGGUUGGGCUUGAUAUCCUUGAUAGUCCUGGUAGUUGUUAGUCCUAGCAUAACCAAAAUUCGGUUGGUCUCCCCAACAUGGAUUGUAGGUGUCAAGGUAAGGAUCAUGUCUUGGUUGUCCAUAGGAUCCUUCAAAUGCAUGUACUUGUUGAAGUUGUUGAGCUUGACCUAUAACAAGACUUUUCAAAGCAGAGGUUAGUUCAGAAAUUUGAGAAGUGAGAACAGAUGUACCUACCUCAUUGACUCCUUCUUGCAAUUGCUUUUCAUCUCCAUAUUGUCUAGAUGCUACUGCAAGUCUUGAAAUCAACUCUCUAAUUGCUUGAGGUGUGCUAUCUUUAAUUGAACCUCUACAUGCUACAUCAAUGAAUUUCCUUUCGGAUGGUAGCAAACCUCCAUAGAAGAAUUCUAUGAGUGAUCUUUCUGAAAUGUCAUGUUGAGGACAAUUUGUACACAAUCUAUUAAAUCUUUCCCAGUAAUCAUACAAAUCUUCAGUUUCUUCUUGCUUAAUGCAACUAAUCUCUCUUCUUAUGCCUAUUAUUUUAGAAAUUGGAAAAUAUUUAUUCAGAAAGGCUCUUACCAUACCUUCCCAAGAAGUGAUUGAUCCAGGUGGCGAGUAAAAUAACCAAUCUUUGGCAUAAUCAUCAAGUGAGAAUGGGAAUGCUCUUAAUUUAACAUGCUCUUCAGAUAUGCCUUGUGGUCCCAUGGAUGAACAAACAAAAUGAAAUUCUUUCAAGUGCUUAUGUGGAUUUUCAUGCUCCAAACCUUUAAAUUUAGGUAGUAGAUGUAUCAAACCUGUUUUGAGCUCAAAAGGGGCUGUCAAAGGUGGGUAAGUGAUGCACCAUAGCGCUUGAUCAUCAACAGGGGCGGCCAACUCUCUCAGUGUUCUUUCUCUUGGUAUUGGUGCCCUCUUGGCUGGAUUUUCUGGUUCAAUAUCAGCAUGUACAGCAGGUCCAGCUGGUCUUUGAACAGGGGCAGCAGGUUGCACAUGAAAUUCAGCCAUCUCAGCAGCUGUUUGGGCAAUUUCUGCAGCUGUGUCUGCAAGGGCUGGUUCUGCAGAUUCUGGUGCAGCAGAUUCUGGUUCUGUUGAGGUAAUUUCUAUGUGUGCUAUCUCCUGGACAGCAGGUAAUGCUUGUUCUGUAAUUUCUACAUAUGCUGUUUUUUGGAUAGCAACAAAUUCAGCAGGUGUUGUUUGAGCAGCAGUGUUUAUGGCUGCCUUUUGGACAGCAGCUGGUUCUGUUUCUCGGAACAGCAGUCUUGACAGUAGGUGUAGAAGGUAAUUGCUCAGUAGCAUUGUUGAGGGUGGCAGAUCUGGUAAUGAAAGAAAAAUAAAAAAGUAAAAUCAAUUUCCUGGCAACGGCACCAAUUUUUGACUCGCGGUUGUCGAAGCCGGUCAAAAAUAACCUUCUUGGUUAUCAACAAUUUACAACUGCAGAUAGUGGUGAAGGAUCGAAUCCACAGAGAAUUGAUUACCUAUUUAUUUUUCUCAACAAGACCAAUAAAAUAAACUGAAACAAUGAGAUAAACAAAAAAUGAGAUAAAAACUGAAAGUGGGAUCAAACGAGAUAAACUGAAAUUGGGAUAAAAAACUGUCAACAAAAUAACAGGGGGGGUUUGAGA